rnacentral:misc_RNA from 1 species
UCAUCUAAAGUUUGCCGAAGAUUCUGCAGAAGUAGCACUUUAGAAUGAUAGAAAAUAUGAUAAUGAAUAAAAUUAAAUAAACAGAAUGCAUCUCUUAGUACACCACAGUUCACUGUGCAGACAGGAAAAAUAAUAGCUAAGAUUUAUUCAAAAGAAAUGCACAAAGAGACAGAUUAUGCAAUAAAGACAUCCUUCUCCAGAAGAAAGAUUUGAAGAAAAAGGAUCCAAAAAUAAAAUAGACAGAAACCAAAUGCAGUUCCAAUGAUAUCUUUAGGUAGAAUGCAAAUACAGCAAUGAGGAAUGUGGAUACAGAACCAAAAAAAUAAAAAAUAAAUCUGAGGGCACAGAUAUAAAGACUAACAUAUACACGCAUAUAAAUAUGCCUGUUCAAUUAUAAAUAUAUGUUCCUACAUAAACAGGUAUAUGCAUUCAAGAGUGCACAUCCAUGCAUGUGCUCAAGCAAUAUAGAUAAUGCAAUAAUAGAUCAAUGUUUUUUUGAAAGAACAAGACAACCAAAUAAGCCCAACAUCCACACAUGCAAACGCAAGUGCAAGGCAGUAAUGCAGACUAGAGAGUGAUUAUUCUUCUCCCAGUCCAUUGAAGAACAUUUUCAAUUUACUCCAAUCCUACAGUGUCUCUGUUGCUGAUUUGGCAAUGACAAAUCAGGAAGCCUGGGCCACUUUCUUUUAAGUGCAUUAGAGUUUUUUUUUUUUCCUAUCCACAUAAUAGCCCACUUUCUCAUCCCAUAAAAUCAACACUUGAGAUCAGUUAAUCAUGCAAGUCCAAUUCAGAAGCUUGAUUGGCAUUAAAGGGUUUUAGUUAUCUAUUAUUGAAUUGAGUUGAACCGGCGGAAGUGAAUGAAUGGGCCGAGGCAAGA